CUGCUUCAAGGCGCUACGGCAGUUCCAGUGUAUGAGGUUAAGUGUCACAUCGAAAUCAGGUGGCUUAAGAUCUUUGGAUUGCCCUAUAGUUGCAACUGAAUGAACAACCGACUGAUGUGUCUGUGUAGCUGCAGCAUUCAACUGAACUUGUGUUUGCAUUUGUGAAGUAGCUUGAGGAACUGGAAGUCCACCAUGGCUAGGCACCAAAGCCUCUUUAACACAUCCAACAAUCUGGUCAUUCCAUUUGCAGGCAAAGCAACAACAGAUAUGACGUCCAGCAUUGUUGAUGGAGCAUCCCGAACAACUUGUUCUUGCACUUGCUGUGGAACAACUAAUCAGGGCUGACCCGCAUUCUCAACUUCAGGUUGAGGAUCUCUCUGUGCCCUAGUUUGAUGAGACCCAACUUGACUACCACCAUGGGUAGUACCAUAUCCAGCAGGUGCAGCAGAUCUAAGAACUAAGAAGGCACAUUUGAUAGCCUUUCACUGAAGUUUUUCUAUUCUAGGUUUAAGAUUGUGAACAAAACAAAUACAAUCAAACACAUGUGGAGGAAUUGAACACAAAGCCAUGUUACUUCCUCAAAAAAAAAAAAAAAGAAUUGAACAGAGUCUAGUUUGGGUUGAGGAUCGUGUGUGGACUCUUGUACUGCAAAAAGGUAGACGGCAUAUGAUUGAUUUAAUAUCAAGUGGUAAUAGUGGCAUCACCCCAAAAGUGUAAAGGAACAUGAUUGUGGAUGAGUAAUGUCCAAGUUGUUCCAAUGAGAUGUUGAUUCUUUUUGUCGGCAACUCCAUUUUGUUAAGGAGUGUGUACACAAGAAGACAAGUGCGAUAUACCUUGUGAUGACACAGACAGAAAGAGAAAAAAGAGAAAUAUCUUCUCGGUUAGCACCGAUUGAUUCUUUAUGGGCACCAAAUUGAUUGCGACUUUUAGUACAAAAAUUCUGAAAAUAGAGAAAAAUUCAGAUAUAUUUCUCAUUAAAAAUAACCAUGUGCUCUGAGAAUAGUCAUCAAUUAAUGUAACAAAAUAAUGGAAGCCUAAUGAAGAACUGACUUGGACCCCAUAUAUCCAAUAGAACAACUCCAAUCAUAGAGGAAGCCCUAUUAUUGACAGUUUGGCACUUAUUGGGAAAGAACUACGAUUGUGUUUCCCGAGUUGAAAAACGACUCACUUUCUAACUACUAUAAACUAAGAUAGACUUGGGACCAUCUUCUGCAGUUUUAAGAAGCUUGGAUGUCCCAUCUGACUUUGAAGCAAAUCAGAGGAAGUGAAAGCGACAUGUGGUUUUGGAGCGGAUAACUGGUAUAAUCCAUGUGUCUCAUGUCCUUUCAAUAAUCUAUCCCAUACUCCGGUCCUACACAAAAACAGAACUAGCAAAGUGGUUACAGAACAGUUGAAGUUUUUGGUUAAUUUACUACUGAUAAUUAGAUUAUAUGGACAUUUAGGUACAAAAAGAAUUUAAGUUAAAGGUAAUGAAGUAGAGGGUGAGGUACACCUAUUCCUUUGACAACAAUCAUUGAUCCAUUAGCUAAGGUAACAAUAGAGAAGGAGAAGGAGAAUUAAGGGUAGAAAAAAGGUUUUUGUUUCCAGAAAUAUGAUCAGAGUACCACACUCAAGAAUCCAUGGGGCAAGAGAUGAAAACUGUGCGACAUAGGCGAAGGAGUUACUAGGGUGUGCAAGCUGUAGAUGAGGUUGAUGGUUGUUGCUUUGACGUUUGGUACUAAAAACACCAAAAACAAUUCUGUUCGCUUCCUUUACUUGCUAGAUUCAUGUUAUUUGAUUUUUGCUGAGUCAUGAUGCCAAGACAAGCCUGUUGAAUCCUAGGGAAUGUGGAGCGACAUCCUUGAGGACAUUGAUUUUCAGGCUUAGGCUAAACAACUUCAGUUUCUACACCAUAUCUGCUAGUAAUAUUAGGCAGAUUAGGCAGCCCCUGUCUGUGGAUUUCCUUCGGUUCCUCUGAACAGCCUAGGGCCUACCAUAUGAACUGAAGCCAAUUUAUUUCUUAUUUUCCCCUGGCACAUAAUGCUUUAGAUUUACAGUUCAGAGCACCUAUAAUCUGCAAAAGUUUGAAGAGCUUAGAUAACAUACUUAUCACUGUAAAAGAUGAAGUAUCUUAUGAGCGUUGAAGCUUAAAGAUCAUUGUGACCUCAAAGCUACAUCAAAACUAGUGUAAAUGAUAAUAAUGUAGAUAAAAUAUGAUCUUGAAUGGGAGCGAUUUUCUAGAUGGGAAACAGACUAUGAAUGCUGAAGUUCCCUAUCUUUGGCAGCUAUUUUGAUGUGUUAGACUUUUAUGUUUUAACUCUUUCCACCACCCCUGCCCCACAUUGGAAACUUCUUGAUAAAAGACUUAAUCUUGUUCUUUUAUAUUCGGAGAAUAGUUACUCACACAAGGGAAUUCUCUUGAGCUUUCUGAAAAAUGUUUGAAAAGUGAAAUCCAUGGUUUUAGAUCAACUCCAGCUAAGUUUGUUUGACCAGCAGUAUUUGUUGUGCAUGUCUAGGCUAAUCGGCUAAGUUUUACUAUUGACGAGUUAAUUUGUUGUACAUUUUUUGCGGAGAUAGGAUCGCUAGCAAAUAUCUCUAUGUUGCAAAUCCAUUUCAAGCACAGUUUUCUUGUUUGGUACGCGGAGACUUCUAGUCAUGAUGUGUAAAUUUUUUGUUGGAUGAGCUCACUUUGUAGUAGGGGCGUGCCUAUGGACGAAGAUUUAAAAGCGUGGUGUGCCUGAGCUAUGCUUUACCUAGCAAGUCAUCAAAUGUAAAUGGAUUUUGGUCACUUUCAUAACAAGACAUCUUAUUUGGGAAUAAGGGAGACUAAAGAAUAAAGUCACUCUAGAGGUCAAUCUACUCCCACCAUCAAGGCUCAUACUUAUGGAUGCUCUAUCUUGAGGUUCGCUUUGACAUGGUACCUCUGUGUGCUGGUAAGAGCGUAAGUUUAGUGAAAACAUGAUUAGCAUUUGUUUUGUCAACAGUGAGACAACAUUCAACUUGUUAGUGCAUAUUUUCAUUGUUUUAUUUCAAUUCUAACGCAAAUUUUACCGGUAUAGGGAAUUCCUCUUUACUGAUGAUCUAUUUUCCGGUUCAUGUUCCUUCUAUUUUUAGCUCUUACCAUGGAGUAACUGGUAAAGUUGCUGUCAUGUGACCUCGAAGUCACGGUUUCAAGUCGUGGAAACAGACUCUUGCAAAAAUGCAAGGUAAGGCUCCGUACAAUAAACUCUUGUGGUUCGGCCCUUCCCCGGACCCCCCACAUAGCGGGAGAUUUAGUGCAUCAGGCUGCCCUUUUUUGGAAUUGCUUAAGCUGCGAGCAGGUUUGUGAAUCCUUUGGUUCGAGGGAAAAUUGAGCAAUACCAGAAUCCAUGAUAUAAUUAUUCAGAUCAAUUAUUAGGCCCUUCUCCAGUUCAGAAGGAUGUAAAUUUUCAGAUCCAGUUUAAUCAUGAAUGACAGUACAUCAUUAAUGACUUAACCCAUUUAAAAGAUAUUUAGGAAGAUUAGCCUUUAACUCUGUAAUUUACUUUCAGCUUAGUUGUAUUCUCCUAAGGCGGGGUGAUGUUUGAGUCUGAUGUUCUCUUUACAUUGAUUGCAAUGAAAGGAUCUGUAUAGGCUAAAUCCUUUCACCUCCUCUGGAAGACAUUUGCAUAGCUUUAUAGACAUGAUAUUGUUCAAGCCUAACCCCCAAACCAAUGAACCUCAACCAUUGGUGAUGGCUUUUUUGUUUUCUUUUUUUUUUUAAAAAAGAAAAAGAAAAGCAUUGAUUGCAAUAUCAUUAUCGAGUUAUACAAAGUAAUUUAUAUUGAGUAAUCGCGCUUCACUGACAGGCACUUUUUUUAAAACAUUUUUAUUUUAUCAAAAUUCAGUUUAAUCUUUAUGCUGGUACAAGUAUCUUAUGCAAUCUAAUUCUACAUUUUCCCUUGCUCUUGUAGGUGACACGUACAAACCAUUCUUACCUAAAUACAAAGAGGUAUCAACUUGCUGGUGCUUCUGCUUUGAUAUAGUUCUUUCCGAACAUUUGUUCAGUUGCAGCAGUAACAAAGUGGUACUAAAAUGCUGCAUUACUAGCUGGUGGUUUUGUUGCAUUGCCAUCAUACCUUUUCUUUGGUUUUUCUUCCUUUGUAUUUCGAGAUCAAGUGGAACUUCAUGCAGAAUUGUUAAGGCGUAAUUACUAUAUAGUAAGUGAAUAAAUUCUAUGUUCAAAAUCUGUUCGCAGGCUUUACUAUUGUUUGUUUAUUACCCAAAAAAGUUAUGUUCAGUAUCAUAGGAUACUGCAUAUGUACGUUUAAGGUCAUCCUGUAUAGAUUUUGAUGUACUCAUCAUGUCAAUUCUCUUUA